UACGUAGGGAGCAAGCGUUGUCCGGAUUCACUGGGUGUAAAGGGUGCGCAGGCGGACUUGUAAGUCAGGGGUGAAAUCUCACGGCUUAACCGUGAAACUGCCUUUGAUACUGCAGGUCUUGAGUUCGGGAGAGGUUGAUGGAAUUCCAGGUGUAGCGGUGAAAUGCGUAGAUAUCUGGAAGAACACCAGUGGCGAAGGCGGUCAACUGGCCCGUAACUGACGCUCAGGCACGAAAGCGUGGGUAGCGAACAGG
rnacentral:rRNA from 1 species